GGGCUCCGUCCGUCUGUGUCGUUGCAGGUCCCUUGACUUGCAACUCACUGGAAAAUCAGUUGUUAUUAUUAUUAUUAUUAUGCAGGUCGCUUGGCUUGCGACUCACUGGAAAACUCAGUUGUUAUUAUUAUUAUUAUUAUUAUGCAGGUGGCUUUACUUAUGACUCACUGGAAAACUCAGUUAUUAUUGAUAUUAUUACUAUUAUUAUUAUUAUUAUGCAGGUUGCUUGACUUGCAACUCACUGGAAAACUCAGUUGUUAUUAUAAUUAUUAUUAUUAUGCAGGUCGCUUGACUUACAACUCACUGGAAAACUCAGUUAUCAUCAUCAUCAUCACUGAAAAAUUCAGUUGUUGUUGUCCUCAUCAUCAAUAUCAUGGGAUCAGCCCGGGGGUGGGCAGCUGCCCUCCAUCAAUUAAAGCCAGUAAAAAAUAAUAAAAAUCCUUAACUGAGUGAGGUUCUGCUCCUGCAACAAAAAUCCUCACCACCACCAUCAUCAUGGGAUUAGU